UACAGAGGUGGCAAGCGUUGUUCGGAAUUACUGGGCGUAAAGGGCGCGUAGGCGGCCAUCUAAGUCAGACGUGAAAUCCCCCGGCUUAACCUGGGAACUGCGUCUGAUACUGGAAGGCUUGAGUAUGGGAGAGGGAUGUAGAAUUCCAGGUGUAGCGGUGAAAUGCGUAGAUAUCUGGAGGAAUACCUGCGGCGAAGGCGGGUUGCUGGGCUGACACUGACGCUGAGGCGCGAAAGCUAGGGGAGCGAACGGG
rnacentral:rRNA from 1 species